CUAAAUUCCCCAGAUUACAAUCUGAGCAUCUAUGGGAUGUGCUGGAACAACACAUUCAAUAUCACCUUGCAAGACUUAAAGGAUCUGCUGCUAAUAUCUUGGUGCCAGACACCACAGGGCACAUUCGGAGGUCUUGUGGAGUCCAUAACGCAAUGCAUUAGAGUUGUUUUGGCAGCACGAAGGUCACCUACACUAUAUUAGGCAGGUGGUAUUAAUGCUGUAGCCAAUCAGUGUAAUCUGCUUCCAUGUAGCUCCCUGUGUCUGAAUGAAAAACAUAGCGGGGCUACUUUAAGAGUGGGUUCUCGCCCUGAGAUGAGGAAAGCAAACACUGGUGGUCUCAUUUAAAUGUUGG